UCCGGGGUGAUGCUUGCAUAAGGGGACACGCACAGUGCACGGUGUUGCUCAUAUUGCACUCCCCUGGGAAGGUCUGAGACAGGAGCCCACCUCGCAGGCCCUAGCAGGGUCCUGACCGAGAGGUCAGUCGGCUCACAAGAAAAGCACGCCGCGGGGUCCGGUUGAGGGAGGAGGCCUUUGCAACAAAGGCGGACCGAAGGACCCCGGUCGGACGUUGGAAACGGACCGUGGCUGGCGCUCUGAGCUCGAUUUGCAAGGUGUCGUACGUUACACGGCAUAACUCAAUUCAGACUACUCCAUCUCGGGA
rnacentral:RNase_P_RNA from 1 species